rnacentral:rRNA from 1 species
CCCGCUGAACUUAAGCAUAUCAAUAAGCGGAGGAAAAGAAACUAACAAGGAUUCCCCUAGUAACUGCGAGUGAAGCGGGAAAAGCUCAAAUUUAAAAUCUGGCGGUCUUUGGCCGUCCGAGUUGUAAUCUAGAGAAGUAAUGCCCGUGCUGGACCGUGUAUAAGUCUCCUGGGAUGGGGCGUCAUAGAGGGUGAGAAUCCCGUCUUUGACACGGACUACCAGUGCAUUGUGGUAUGCUCUCAAAGAGUCGAGUUGUUUGGGAAUGCAGCUCAAAAUGGGUGGUAAAUUCCAUCUAAAGCUAAAUAUUGGCGAGAGACCGAUAGCGAACAAGUACCGUGAGGGAAAGAUGAAAAGAACUUUGGAAAGAGAGUUAAACAGUACGUGAAAUUGCUGAAAGGGAAACGCUUGAAGUCAGUCGCGUUGGCUGGGAAUCAGCCUUGCUUUUGCAUGGUGUACUUUCUGGUUGACGGGUCAGCAUCAAUUUUGAUCACUGGAAAAGGCUCAAGGGAAUGUGGCAGCUUCGGCUGCGUUAUAGCCCCUGUUCACAUACAGUGGUUGGGAUUGAGGAACUCAGCACGCCGCAAGGCCGGGUUUCGACCACGUUCGUGCUUAGGAUGCUGGCAUAAUGGCUUUAAGCGACCCGUCUUGAAACACGG